UCGCAUUUAUGACUCGUUCCUCAUUAACUGCAUAUUAUAAAGUUUUCACACAUAAGUAUAAAUGAACAAUAUUACUUUAUACUAAAUGAUUUCUCUUUGUGUUUAUUAUCUUACGAAGUGUGUCUUCAAGAGAAGCGUUUGCCUUUUCCUUUCCUUUCUUUUUGGCCCUUGUAGCUUCCAUACACUCAGCAAUAAUUGUAGAUGCAUUAACUGAUACACAUGAAACAUUUAUAAUAAAAUGCACAAAAAAAAUAAAUACCACAUUAAAAUUAUUUGUAACUUGUAUUAUACCUUCAGCAUCAUCAGUUCCAUUUUGCUCAUUACUUGGACCAUCAUUUUCUUUACGGGUUGAGUUACUAACAUCUGCUGUGCAACCCAAUUUGAAUGCAUAUUUUGCUAAGAAUAAAAUAAAAUAAUAGAGGUGUACAUUAUUUCAUAUUGUAAACAUUUUACCUUUCCGCCGAUUUUUGAGAAUACAAUCAGCAACUUUAUCAGCUAAA
rnacentral:lncRNA from 1 species